rnacentral:rRNA from 1 species
GUAUCCACGAUUGGAAGUAAAAGUCGUAACAAGGUUUCCGUAGGUAAGUAGUGGUUGCGUCCUUUUCCUCUGUUAAAAACAUAUGUUAACGUGAAAUUUCUAGGUGAACCUGCGGAAGGAUCAUUAACGAGUUAGGGUCUUUUCGGCCCGACCUCCCAACCCUGUGUUUACUGAACCUUUGUUGCUUCGGCGGGCCCGUCUCACGACCGUCGGGGGACCGUAAGACGUCUUCUGAUCCGUGUCCGCCGGUGGCCAAACUUAACAAACUCUGGUUAAAAUGUGUCAUGGUCUGAGUACAAUUUUUAAUUAAAGCAAAACUUUCAACAACGGAUCUCUUGGUUCUGGCAUCGAUGAAGAACGCAGCGAAAUGCGAUAAGUAAUGCGAAUUGCAGAAUUCCAGUGAGUCAUCGAAUCUUUGAACGCACAUUGCGCCCUUUGGUAUUCCGAAGGGCAUGCCUGUUCGAGCGUCAUUAUCACCCUUCAAGCCCCCGGCUUGAUGUUGGACGGUUUGGUUUUGGUGACAAGACCCCUCCUAAAAUCAAUGACGGCGGCCUGUGCGACCCCCGGUACACUGAGCUUCUUAACUGAGCACGUAUCGGUCUCAGGGUAGACAGGACCCGGUCUUCUUCCUUGACCGGAAAAUUUUUCCAAAGGUUGACCUCGGAUCAGGUAGGGAUACCCGCUGAACUUAAGCAUAUCAAUAAGCGGAGGA